AACCUGGGACCCUUCAGUCCGCAGGCCGACGCUCUAUCCACUGAGCCAAACCGGUUAGGGCGUCUUUUCUAAUAGGUUUCAUUUCUUCUCAACUGCCCUGCUUUUCUGUCCCUUCCCCCCAUUCUCUUUGCAGUGUUUAAUGUUAAGCCAAUGUCCCUCUUCUUCCCAAAAAAGUUGCUUGUAAUUUUUCUUCAUAGAGUUUUUCCAGAAAACACGUGUUUGGUAAACUUUGAGUCUUUUUAUGCCUGAAAAUAUCUUUCAUGCUCACAUUUUAAUGAUAUUUGGUUUAUCACCUUGCAUCUGGGGUUGCUUAUAAGAAGACUGAUGUCUGAUUAUACUUCCUUUAUUUAAGCCUGCCUGGGAGUCCCACUGCAGUGCCUCAGCCAGUCUCCACCUCCACUGCCACUGAGUGGCCUGGGAGUCCCACUGCAGUGCCUCAGCCAGUCUCCACCUCCACUGCCACUACCACGCCAGACCUGUCUUCAGAAUCUGAUUCCUCAGGUCGAUGCUCAACCGUUGGGCCUAAACCCCAGUGUGGCUGCUUGUGCCACAGCAUCCUGGAAGAGAACUCCAAUGGCACCUCCACAGUGAAAACUGGAACCUACCGGUGUGGUAUGCAGCUUCCGCCGCCAUCUCUGAAAGACUGACUGC